rnacentral:lncRNA from 1 species
GUCAGCAGGCCACAGUGCAUGGAAUGCCCUUAGGAAAAACCAACAGGAUCAGUCCUCAAAGCAAAGCACAACUUGCAUUUGCCUUUGCCCCCACAAUAGACAGUAAAUAAAGGCAGUGAUCAAACAGGGCAGGACUUAGGGGGGCUGGGACAUCGCCCUGGGGGGAGCUGCUCCCACAGCAGGCUGCACAGCUCAGCAUGCAGGCGGGUCCUGAAUACUUCCAUUGAAGGAGACCCCACACCUCCCUGGGCAGCCCAUCCCAGUGCUCCAUCACCCUCGCCAUGAAGAAGUUCCUUCACAUUUUGGUGCGGAACUUCCUGUGCUCCAGUGUGUGGCCGUUUCCCCUUGUCCUGUCCCCACAGACCACUGAGAUGAGGUUGGCCAUGUCCCUUUGUCUCCCACACUGAAUAUAUUUAUAAGCACUAAUCACAUUCUUUCUCAGUCUUCCCCAGGCCGAGCAGCUCCACGUCACGCAGCCUUCCCCCACAGGGAGAUGCUCCAGGCCUUCUCAGCUCUGUUAUCAGGAUGCCAUGGGAGAUAACACCAAAAGCCUUGCUGACAUCCACUUGCACCAAAAGCCUUGCAGAUGACAUCCACUCCUCCCCCCGCACCUACCCGGCUGGUGAUGCCAUCAUAGAAGGCUACGAGAUCUGCAUACUGCUCCCACCCAGCAGCUCCAGGACCCCCCCCUCACCCAGAGGGCAGCUCUCCAUUCCUGGACUCUCCCUGUUCCCCCCGGGGUCCCAAGAGGGUGGUCUUGGAAGUGAGAACUGUACCAAAGAAGGCACUCAGCAUCUCCACCUCCUCAGCACACCUCCCCUUGUUCCACAGGGUACCUUCUUACUUCCUCAUCAACACAGCAAUUGGGGUUUCGUGAGUGGAACAAAUGUGCAACAGCCCCGAGCUGCGAGGAGGAGUCAGGAGAGAGAUUCCGUGCAGUGCUGCAGCACGGUGCAUCCGCAGGGCACUGCCCACAGCACCGUGCACUGCCUGCAGCACCGUGCACUGCCUGCAGCACUGAGCACUACCCGCAGCACCGUGCAUUCCCUGCAGCACCGUUCUCUACCU